rnacentral:lncRNA from 1 species
GAGCCUGAGAAAGGCGGCGAGGCAGCCGAGAGGAAAGCCACCUCCAUGGAACAGGAAGUCUUUUCUUUUUUCAGAGCAUCAUCCAUCAUGCUGGGGGAAACGGCAGUAACGUAACCUACUACUUCUUAAUAGGCUUCUGCACAGAGAGUGGCUUUGAAGCAGCAGCUGCCCACAAUGAGGAAAUUAAAGCUUCCUGGAACUCCUGAUAGGAUGUACAUAACUACACAGAAGAAGGAAAGACACACAUGAGAUUUGAUCAAUAUUACCAAAGAAGACACACCUAGAAAAGAAGGUGCUAAAAGAAUGCAGAAGCAUGCAGAUGACCAAAGGUUAUAUUACACUGUCCAAUCUCUUCUUGUAAGAACACCAGUCAGGGUCAUUCAAGAGAUGCAAAUGAAAACAACGCUGAGAUUCCACUUCACUCCAGAAAGAAUGGCUGCUAUCAUGAAAUCCACCAAUAACAAAUGCUGGCGGGGCUGUGGGGAAAG